GGUCAUAGCUCAGUGGUAGAGCAUCUGCUUUGCAUGCAGAAGGUCUUAAAUUCAAUCUGUGGCAUAUCCU